rnacentral:rRNA from 1 species
CAAUAGCGUAUAUUAAAGUUGUUGCAGUUAAAAAGCUCGUAGUUGGAUUUCUGAUCGAGACAUCAGGUCGGGUCCGAGAGGAUCAUGUACUUUGAUUUUGUUUUGAUCAUCCUUGGGGAGAGCAUUUCUGGCAUUCAGUUGUCGGGAUUGGGAUCCUCAUCGUUUACUGUGAAAAAAUUAGAGUGUUCAAAGCAGGCCUCGGCCUCUGAAUACAUUAGCAUGGAAUAAUAAGAUAGGACUUUGGUGGUCUAUUUUGUUGGUUUGCACGCCAAAGUAAUGAUUAAUAGGGAUAGUUGGGGGUAUUCGUAUUCAAUUGUCAGAGGUGAAAUUCUUGGAUUUAUGGAAAACGAACUACUGCGAAAGCAUUUACCAAGGAUGUUUUCAUUAA